rnacentral:rRNA from 1 species
CUAACGGCUGAACUGGCAACUUGGAGAAGUGGCAAGUUUUAUAAUUAAUAGUAAUUAAUAUUUCUAUUUUUAUAAAAUUCUAUUAGAAUUGAAUGAAGCUUUGUUUAUAUAUUGAUAAUGACAGUAUAUAUAUCGUGUCUUGACUAAUUGCGUGCCAGCAGUCGCGGUAAUACGUAAGAGACUAGUGUUAUUCAUCUUAAUUAGGUUUAAAGGGUACCCAGACGGUCAAUAUAUCUUCUAUAAUGUUAGUACUUGACUAGAGUUUUAUGUAAGAGGGCAGUACUUGAGGAGGAGAGAUGAAAUUUCGUGAUACCAAAGGGACUCUGUAAAGGCGAAGGCAGCCCUCUAUGUAGAAACUGACGUUGAAGGACGAAGGCACAGAGAACAAACAGGAUUAGAUACCCAAGUAGUCUUUGCAGUAAAUGAUGAAUGCCAUAGGUCAGAUCUAAAUUUAAUGUUUAUAGAUUAUGUGAAGGCCUUAAUUGGCAACUUUGCAAAAAUUAUAAAUAUUAAAAAUUAUUUGGUCUAUAAAUGAAAGUGUAAGCAUUUCACCUCAAGAGUAAUGUGGCAACGCAGGAACUGAAAUCACUAGACCGUUUCUGACACCAGUAGUGAAGU